AUAUACAUAUACAUAUAUGCUAGAAAAAAUAUAUUUUUAGAUACACAGAGUACACAAAUUCAUAUUACAUAUUGGGUAAUUGUAUAGUACUUGCUUUCAAACUAUUUUUGUAUAUUAAAUAGCUUUAAAAGCCAAAUCGAUUUUGAAUCCACCUAGUUAAUUCACCAUUUUCCAACCCUUCCAGGACAAGAAGAAGAAGGAUCCCAUUAGCUCGGUAUCCUUCGGUUGCAGCUUCAGUUUCAGGUUCAGUCGGUGGUCCAUCAAUUGGCUUUGUCGAUUAUCAGUUUCCAGCGCUAAUUGGCAUACAUUAUUUAUAGUCGAGUGAGCGAGCACACGACGGCUGACUGAUGGCACGCAUCUAAUGACGUCACAGGGGAAAGCGCGAGCAGAGAUAUCGAUUAGCGAAACAAAGACGUCAUCACUUUGCCGUCGGAGGACAUGCGCAGCGGAGCAAAGCGAGACAGCAGACGGCGGGCAUGAAUGAAUGAGUGGAUGUUUGCGGGAGGUGAGGGCUGUUUAUCAUGCGCAGGUGAAAAUAGUCAGGUGAGUAGGCAGCGGCAGAGGAAAAACACCGGCCGGCGGCUCAGUUUUCCCCUUUUUUGUAGCCAUCUCGCUUGCGCGAUGACGUCCUUGUUGCGACACUAGUCGUCUCGCUUUCGUCUGACGUCACUUGUCCUUGGCGGGGUGGUCUAUUUCCGUCUGUGCAGCACCACCCGCUCAUGACGUCACGGUUGUGCUGCCUGGCUUUCCGCUCUACUGCAGCGAAAGUGCCCGGAAAUAGCCGGAGGAUAAUGACACGUGCUGCAGCCCCCGAUCCCUGCUCCCUUAGUCCUUCCACUGGCUUGGCCCCGUAAAAAUAGUUUUUGCAGUGACCAUAAAAAUGCAGCGUGACAUAGUACGUUGCCUGGAAAGUUGAGUGGGAAAAUGUUGAAAAUAACAAUGGAAUAUUUUAAAAAUAAACCGAAUACAUUAAAGUGGAUUACAGCGUUUCAGUUUGGACAUAGGAAACGCAAAGUUGUGCUAUGAAAAACCGAUAACGACAUGGCUAAUUGUCUAAACGUGCCGCAGUGGCAACCAGUUGCAUGUUCGGAGGCUCAGAAGUGGCAUCUUUGGUCUCUCUCGGCGGCGGUUGUCUAUUUUCUCACCUGCGGCGCUCAAAGGCGACCUCGACCUGUCUCAAGCCGAUAUGUUCUGUCUAUAUAUAUAUAUAUAUAUAUAUAUAUAAAUAUAUAUAUUAACCCAUGUUGUAUGUCUCUAUAUUCCAAAAUGCAUAGAUUUGUAUCAAUUGAUAGUGGCGAACAGGACGGAGAACUUGGUCAGCAGCUGAAAGGCAACAUGCAAUCGCGGUGUCUGCCAGCGGCUUUUGUCAAAUUGAAGGUAGCUUCUACACUCUACAUACAACUUAGUACAAGUACAUACUCUGCAGUUGGAGAUCCGGGGAAUGGAGAUCCAGGGAGCCGCACAAAGUCGAGCCACCUUGACAAGCCUAGGCACGUCUUCCGCCGACAAUUGGCCAGAGAUGUUGGCCAAAAGAUGCUCGAAGUCGGUCCUACUCGUGGCUCGCCUGAUUGUUUCCCCGCAGUUUGGUUUCGUAGAUGGUAUUGGACUCUGAAUGCGGGUAAUACCCUAUCCUAAAGUGGUGUUGCCUAAUGAUACAUGAAUGCAUGUGCUAUAUUAUAGAUAUCAAAUAUUAGUACUACCCUCUUGGAAUAUCUAAAAAAGGUGGAGUAUUUGUAUAUCGCAAUAUUAUUUGUUGAUAAAUAUAUAACAAUGUACAAGAAAUAUGUUGAAGUAUACCAAUAUAUUUGAAACCCCGGUAAGCAAAGAGCAAUGCAAUUUAUGCCAAUCAAAGACCAUUUGAUUUCACUUAUUGUGUUUUCCUCGAAUUUUUCGGGCAGUCAGAAUGCGCGGAAUUAAUUAAAAGGCUUAAAUAAGAUGUACUAACAAUUUGUUGCUAAUGUGCCAAUCACCAAAAAGUUCAUCAGCAUCGACUGGGGAGCCAAAGAACAAGGAGUGUGCAUUACUAAAUUAACUUUUGCAUCAUCGACAGCAACUAGCGCCCGAAUCGUGCAUGAAAACAUCUCCGAAGAAUCAAAUGAAUUCGGAUCUGCCCCAAACACAAAAAAGAAACGGAGUAUUGUAAUUUCAAUAUUAAAUUAAUGUUGGCAUGUCUUGAUUUCUUGUUGCUGGUGGUGUUGCAGCAUGUGGCGUGCCGCAAAAUAAUUUGCGAGUCCAAAACAAAGUGGGUCGUUCACCGCAUGACUGUGGGGUGUCUCAUAAAAGUUUAUUUAACAAAAGCAUUAGAAAUUAAGAGAUUUGUUAACCCGUUAAGAUUGAAAGACAUAAGAAAAAGGAACCACUAAAUCUAUAAAAUACAGUUUUAGUAUUUUUACCUUUUUACUUUCCAAUUUAAUUAAUUUCCAAUUAUAUAUGGGCAAACUUAAGAACCUAGAUAAGUGUCAUUUAAAGCGCCUAAGAUCCUUGCGAUGAAAUAUUAGCUGUAAGCACUUAAAAAUUCAUUAUAAAUAGAAUACCUUCUCAACUUUUCAUAUGCCAAUAUAUAGCAUAUUGUCAGUAAUGUUAUUUGACAAAAUUGAAGAAAAAACGUUAAGAAUGAGCAUUCAACUAUUUGUUUGCUGCACUUUCCCAGAGCUUAGCCCUCCGCCUUUUACUUCCACUCACUUCGCUUAAAUGAAAACCCCCAGAUUCCGCCCCUUUUUGGGUUCUUCCCAGGCGUUGGGCGAUACCAAAAGUUCAUCCAUCGAUCCAUCGAGAGGUGUGCUAAGCGAUAGCAUAAGCCAUUUCCCAUAAUCGCAUGGCCCCUGAACAACAACAACAACAGAAGCAGGCGAAACAGCAACAAAGUCACCGAGCGACAACGACAACACGAAUUUCUAUGGCAUCAGGGUAACAAUUUUAAGGCUUGUCUCUCCUAUGAAGUAAGACAACCCAGCAGAUAUUUUUAAAUAAUUCACAGGCGUGAUUGGACACGCUUCGAGUAUAUAGUAGUGCAUACAAACAUAAUAAGAUACAGACAUAAUAAGGCAGGGUAAGCCAAAUAUCCCUGCUUAAUUUGCCCCACUCAUGCAAACUCUCGUCCCGAUGAGCCGAAGAUGUUUCCGCGACUUCUGGCCAAAUGUCAGCGAGCUGCUCUGCUGGUCUAGUUAAAGUACACUAAUUAGUCAGAUACCCGAGCAUGGCAGACACCUGAACAUGUCAAGGCAUUUGUCGGGGCGCCCCUGGCCCCCAGAACCCCCAGAAGCCCCCUUUAGCCCCCUCGAUCGGAGAGUCAGCGAUCGCAGCCGACGGCCAUUUAAGGAGCCACUCGAGGUCAGUCUGAAACAAAUAACACACAAAACUAUCAAAACAUAUCGAUGACUAACCAGUGGAGUAUCCACAGGUGAGUUCGCUCUACGAUCUGCACUGCAAUUAAUAGUGUAUGUUAAUAAAACUCUUGAAAAAACGGGAAAAUGAUAUGCUAUAUCAUAUCAUAUCUCACAAAGAAGGCAACAAGGAAAAGAAAUGAUCAGUUAAAUAACCAAAAGACCAAAUGUUUUGC